GCAGCACUUACACUCCGUAGGGCUUCUUCUUUUGGUUCAAAAGCGAAGGUGUGACUGUUCUGAAACACAGCAGAUGCUCAUUGUGGACACCAAACAACUCAGUCUGACAUGUCACAGAGAAUCACACGUUAUUAAAGAUUCAUCCAAAUUGUGAUUGCAGAAGAAUAAACUUGAAUGUCUGGAUUUAAAAAAUAAAGAGCGAGGUUUUGUAGAAGCAGCUCACGUCUCCCACAGCUGACAGCUGAUGUCCUCCUGCUCACCCUGUAUCACCAAAUCUUCCUCUGAAAUCUGCGGCGGAUAUUGAUAAUGACACUCAGCGUCUUGGGUCGUGAAUCCUGCAGGUCCUUGGAGACAAAACAACACAGAAGGAUCUAUGUUCCAAUAAACACAAACCUCGGCAGGGGUCAGGGGUCGAAGGUCACGGGACUGAGGUGCAGUGACCCCGGCACAGCAGGACAUUCUCUCUAUAGAAAUGUAAUUCUUUCUGCUGUGGGCCUCGAACCCGCCCCCCGCUGUGUUGUCACCGCAUGAGGAGAGAAGUAAAAAGACGACUUCAGAAAAUGUUUUUUUUUCUUUUUCCAACACGGUCGAUAACAGCUGUCUUAGUCACAGCUGAUUAUCAAAGACUGGAAAAAAAGCAGGACUGAAGAAAUUAAUGUAAUUGAUCCGGCGCUAAUACUGAUGAUAAUUGUGAAGUAGAUACAAAAAUGUGUUUAUACACUUACAUUAAUAUAUUUAAUAUUUGUUGAUGUUGUUUUUUGUGCAAGAAUAAAGAAAAGAGAAAAGACGACGACUUGACAAACACGA